GGCGGCAGGCCUAACACAUGCAAGUCGAGCGCACUUUCGGGUGAGCGGCGGACGGGUUAGUAACGCGUGGGAACGUACCCUUUUCUACGGAAUAGCCUUUGGAAACGAAGAGUAAUACCGUAUACGCCCUUUGGGGGAAAGAUUUAUCGGAGAAGGAUCGGCCCGCGUUAGAUUAGAUAGUUGGUGGGGUAACGGCCUACCAAGUCUACGAUCUAUAGCUGGUUUUAGAGGAUGAUCAGCAACACUGGGACUGAGACACGGCCCAGACUCCUACGGGAGGCAGCAGUGGGGAAUCUUAGACAAUGGGCGCAAGCCUGAUCUAGCCAUGCCGCGUGAGUGAUGAAGGCCUUAGGGUCGUAAAGCUCUUUCGCCUGUGAUGAUAAUGACAGUAGCAGGUAAAGAAACCCCGGCUAACUCCGUGCCAGCAGCCGCGGUAAUACGGAGGGGGUUAGCGUUGUUCGGAAUUACUGGGCGUAAAGCGCACGUAGGCGGAUUGGAAAGUUGGGGGUGAAAUCCCGGGGCUCAACCCCGGAACUGCCUCCAAAACUAUCAGUCUAGAGUUCGAGAGAGGUGAGUGGAAUUCCAAGUGUAGAGGUGAAAUUCGUAGAUAUUUGGAGGAACACCAGUGGCGAAGGCGGCUCACUGGCUCGAUACUGA
rnacentral:rRNA from 1 species